UACGUAGGGUGCGAGCGUUGUCCGGAAUUACUGGGCGUAAAGAGCUCGUAGGUGGUUUGUCGCGUUGUUCGUGAAAACUCACAGCUCAACUGUGGGCGUGCGGGCGAUACGGGCAGACUGGAGUACUGCAGGGGAGACUGGAAUUCCUGGUGUAGCGGUGGAAUGCGCAGAUAUCAGGAGGAACACCGGUGGCGAAGGCGGGUCUCUGGGCAGCAACUGACGCUAAGGAGCGAAAGCGUGGGGAGCGAACAGG
rnacentral:rRNA from 1 species